rfam:Pleurotus ostreatus PC15 unplaced genomic scaffold scaffold_03, whole genome shotgun sequence.
GCCCGCCUAGCUCAAUCGGAUAGAGCGUCAGACUCUUAGCGAGUGUUGUCAUAUAGGCGAUCUGAAGGCUGCGAGUUCGACCCUCGCGGUGGGCU